rnacentral:rRNA from 1 species
UACGUAGGGGGCAAGCGUUGUCCGGAUUUACUGGGCGUAAAGCGCGCGUAGGCGGAAGGUGAAGCGUGGCCUGAAAGCCCCCGGCUCAACCGGGGAGGGCGGCUGCGAACUGGCCUUCUUGAGGGCGAUAGAGGGGGGCGGAAUUCCUGGUGUAGCGGUGAAAUGCGUAGAUAUCAGGAAGAACACCCGUGGCGAAAGCGGCUCUCUGGAACGGUACUGACGCUGAGACGCGAAAGCGUGGGGAGCGAACAGG